AGGAUUCCCCUAGUAACUGCGAGUGAAGCGGGAAAAGCUCAAAUUUAAAAUCUGGCAGUCUUUGGCUGUCCGAGUUGUAGUCUGGAGAAGUGCUUUCCGCGCUGGACCGUGUACAAGUCUCUUGGAAUAGAGCGUCAUAGAGGGUGAGAAUCCCGUCUUUGACACGGACUACCAGUGCUUUGUGAUGCGCUCUCAAAGAGUCGAGUUGUUUGGGAAUGCAGCUCAAAAUGGGUGGUAAAUUCCAUCUAAAGCUAAAUAUUGGCGAGAGACCGAUAGCGAACAAGUACCGUGAGGGAAAGAUGAAAAGCACUUUGGAAAGAGAGUUAAACAGUACGUGAAAUUGCUGAAAGGGAAACGAUUGAAGUCAGUCGCGUUGGCCAGAACUCAGCCUUGCUUUUGCUUGGUGCAUUUUCUGGUUAACGGGCCAGCAUCAAUUUUGACCGCUGGAUAAAGGUGGAGGGAAUGUGGCACCUUCGGGUGUGUUAUAGCCCUCUGUCACAUACAGCGGUUGGGAUUGAGGAACUCAGCACACCUUUAUGGUCGGGGUUCGCCCACGCUUGUGCUUAGGAUGCUGGCGUAAUGGCUUUAAACGACCCGUCUUGAAACACGGACCAAGGAGUCUAACAUGCCUGCGAGUAUUUGGGUGGAAAACCCGAGUGCGCAAUGAAAGUAAAAGUUAGGAUCUCUGUCAUGGAGAGCACUGACGCCCGGACCAGACCUUUUGUGACGGCUCCGCGGUAGAGCAUGUAUGUUGGGACCCGAAAGAUGGUGAACUAUGCCUGAAUAGGGUGAAGCCAGAGGAAACUCUGGUGGAGGCUCGUAGCGAUUCUGACGUGCAAAUCGAUCGUCAAAUUUGGGUAUAGGGGCGAAAGACUAAUCGAACCA
rnacentral:rRNA from 1 species